UCAGGUAGUAGUGGGUGUAGCGUACCUACUAGCCUACGACGGGUACGGGUUGUGAGAGCAAGAGCCCGGAGAUGGAUUCUGAGACACGAAUCCAGGCCCUACGGGGUGCAGCAGGCGCGAAAACUUUACAAUGCUGGAAACAGCGAUAAGGGGACCUCGAGUGCCAGGUUACAAAUCUGGCUGUCGUGAUGCCUAAAAAGCAUUGCAUAGCAAGGGCCGGGCAAGACCGGUGCCAGCCGCCGCGGUAACACCGGCGGCUCGAGUGGUAACCGUUAUUAUUGGGUCUAAAGGGUCUGUAGCCGGCCGGAUAAGUCUCUUGGGAAAUCUGGCAGCUUAACUGUCAGGCUUUCAGGGGAUACUGUCUGGCUCGAGGCCGGGAGAGGUGAGAGGUACUUCAGGGGUAGGGGUGAAAUCUUGUAAUCCUUGAAGGACCACCAGUGGCGAAGGCGUCUCACCAGAACGGACCUGACGGCAAGGGACGAAAGCUAGGGGCACGAACCGGAUUAGAUACCCGGGUAGUCCUAGCCGUAAACGAUACUCGCUAGGUGUCGGCCACGGUGCGACCGUUGUCGGUGCCGUAGGGAAGCCGUGAAGCGAGCCACCUGGGAAGUACGGCCGCAAGGCUGAAACUUAAAGGAAUUGGCGGGGGAGCAC
rnacentral:rRNA from 1 species